rnacentral:rRNA from 1 species
ACACGACUCUCGGCAACGGAUAUCUAGGCUCUCGCAUCGAUGAAGAACGUAGCAAAAUGCGAUACUUGGUGUGAAUUGCAGAAUCCCGUGAAUCAUCGAGUUUUUGAACGCAAGUUGCGCCCGAAGCCAUCCGGCCAAGGGCACGUCUGCCUGGGCGUCACGCAUCUCGUCGCCACCCCCUCCUCCCCGUCCUC